ensembl:antisense Gm27199 predicted gene 27199
ACAGCGUUGCGGUCAGGGCAGAGCAAAAAAAACAAGACAUCAGUAUUGCCGAGUAUUUGCUAGUACCUGUUCCCAAGCUAAGAUCUCUCAUUGAAGUUGGAGCUCACUGAUUCCACUAGACUGUCUGGUCAGCAAGCAAUCACCAGGAAUCACCUGUAACCGUAUCUGCCUGCCGUGACACUCACUGCCGCCUUGAAUUAUCUAUCUAUCUAUCUAUCUAUCUAUCUAUCUAUCUAUCUAUCUAUCUAUCUAUUUAUCUUUUUAUUUUCACACAAGCAGUUGGGAAUAUAACUCAUAUCCUCAUGCCCACGCAUCAAGCAUGUUCCUAACUGAGCCAUCUCCCCAGCUCUUGGAGUUUCUGGGUUUGUUCGGAAGCCUUCUCCCUCCUCCAGAAAGAGGAGUGGAACAGGCACAUGUGAAUUCACUCUGUUGAGCCUAGAAGAGGUGAAAGAGAAAGGCUGCCCAUUUUCUAGAUGUUCCUCAUGAGCUAUAUGCGUGUACCACGAAGGCUUGCUUGGACCCAGAGCUAGGGCUGACCUAACUGAGAUGCUACCCAGGGGUUUCUGGCUCACUGUGGCCACCAUGGCUCCACAAACCACCUACUUAUAACAAAAUAAAAAAUUUUCUACAA